rnacentral:tRNA from 1 species
GCUCCCGUAGCUCAGUUAGGAUAGAGCACAGGAUUCCUAAUCCUGGUGUCGCAAGUUCGAGUCUUGCCGGGAGCGCCA